UACGAAGGGGGCUAGCGUUGUUCGGAAUUACUGGGCGUAAAGCGCACGUAGGCGGACUAUUAAGUCAGGGGUGAAAUCCCGGGGCUCAACCCCGGAACUGCCUUUGAUACUGGUAGUCUCGAGUCCGGAAGAGGUGAGUGGAAUUCCGAGUGUAGAGGUGAAAUUCGUAGAUAUUCGGAGGAACACCAGUGGCGAAGGCGGCGCUCUGGACCGAGACUGACGCUGAGGCGCGAAGGCGUGGGGAGCAAACAGG
rnacentral:rRNA from 1 species